rnacentral:rRNA from 1 species
UACGAAGGGGGCUAGCGUUGCUCGGAAUCACUGGGCGUAAAGGGCGCGUAGGCGGCCAUUCAAGUCGGAGGUGAAAGCCCAGGGCUCAACCCUGGAAUUGCCUUCGAUACUGUCUGGCUAGAGACCGGAAGAGGUAAGUGGAACUGCGAGUGUAGAGGUGAAAUUCGUAGAUAUUGAGAGGAACACCAGAGGUGAAGACGGGUUGCUGGGCUGACACUGACGCUGAGGCGCGAAAGCCAGGGGAGCAAACGGG